UAUACUCUCUCUUGAAAAAGAAAGACAACAAUUUAUCCCAUCACUUUUGUAUUAGAUUUGAAGCUCUAAUUUCCAUCAACUCACACAAAACCUAUUCUAAUUGUUGUGAAGAUUAAACAAUUAAGAGGAAGAUCAAAGUAAAAAAUUGAGAAAAUUAAGCACCAAAUUUAAUAGAUCUGAUGACUAUUGAAAAUUGAUUUAACCAAGAAAUCAAAGCUGAGGCAUUUUUCAUGGUAACAUGGUCAUCUAGGUUUUCUUUGUUUUCGGAGAUACUAUCAAUAGAUGAUUUUGGAUGGGAUGUUUUACAACUUGUAGCAGAUUAUUUCACUUCACUGAAUUUGAAAGAAAUUCUAGCUUUGUUGAAGGAAAAUAUGGCUGUCAAUCUGCCAUAGAUAUAGUGAUGCAGAGAAUGAAGAUUAGAAACACCGUAUAAAUACAACAAAGAGAGACCUUUUUUGCAGAUCAUCAUGCCUUCAUCUCCAGCAUGAUGAGUUGCGACAUAAAAUUUUUAUCAGGUUUACCACCCGAAUAUUGACUUGGAAGGUAAUGUGUGUCUCAACAUUCUUCGAGAAGACUGGAAACCUGUGCUCAACAUCAACACAAUAAUCUAUGGCUUGUAUCAUUUGUGUUGUCGUAUUCUGCUCUUACAGAAGGUUGUUUGUACAUGAAUCAACCAUCAUUGCCACAACUUGGACAAGCUAAUUAAAGUACAUUUUCUAGGUACUAACACUGAAAAGAAACUAAAAUGUAGCAGUAUGUAAAUAGUAUAGGAUGUAAACAUCCUAUGUAAAUGUAGCCACAACUACAAACAAAUGAUUGGCAACCAUUUAUAUAAAGUUUGUUUGCGCAA